rnacentral:rRNA from 1 species
AUUGAACGCUGGCGGCAGGCUUAACACAUGCAAGUCGAGCGAGAGGCGGACGGGUGAGUUAUGUCUGGGAAACUGCCUGAGGGAGGGGGAUCACUAAUGGAAACGGUAGCUAAUACCGCCUACCUUCAGAUGUGCCGAGAUGGGAUGAGCUAGUGGGUGGGGUAAUGGCUCACCUAGGCGACGAACCCUAGCUGGGCUGAGAGGAGGACCAGCCACACUGGAACUGAGACACGGUCCAGACUCCUACGGGAGGCAGCAGUGGGGAAUAUUGCACAAUGGGCGCAAGCCUGAUGCAGCCAUGCCGCGUGUGUGAAGAAGGCCUUCGGGUUGUAAAGCACUUUCAGCGAGGAGGCGUUACUCGCAGAAGAAGCACCGGCUAACUCCGUGCCAGCAGCCGCGGUAAUUC